UACGUAGGGCGCAAGCGUUAUCCGGAAUUAUUGGGCGUAAAGAGCUCGUAGGCGGUGUGUCGCGUCGGCCGUGAAAACCUGCAGCUUAACUGUGGCGUGCGGUCGAUACGGGCAUCACUGGAGUUCGGCAGGGAGACUGGAAUUCCUGGUGUAGCGGUGAAAUGCGCAGAUAUCAGGAGGAACACCGGUGGCGAAGGCGGGUCUCUGGGCCGAUACUGACGCU
rnacentral:rRNA from 1 species